AAAUGAAAGUAUAUUAUAGUACAGUUUGAUUUCGGCUCAAUCCCCGAGAGUGAGACACUCUCUUCAUUUU
rnacentral:tRNA from 1 species